UUAGUGGCGGACGGGUGAGUAACGCGUGGAAAACCUGCCGUAUACGUGGGGAGUAACACUUAGAAAUAGGUGCUAAUACCGCAUAAGCGCACAGCUUCGCAUGAAGCGGUGUGAAAAACUCUGGUGGUAUACGAUGGUUCCGCGUCUGAUUAGCUAGUUGGUGGGGUAAUGGCCUACCAAGGCAACGAUCAGUAGCCGGCCUGAGAGGGUGAACGGCCACAUUGGGACUGAGACACGGCCCAAACUCCUACGGAAGGCAGCAG
rnacentral:rRNA from 1 species